GGCAAGGAAGGUUACGUAAGCAUGUCCCUACGCGGCUUGGCAGAGAGGUUGCAUAAAGCAUGCUUUGUACGGGGAGGUUGCUAGAAAGCAUGCUCCGUCAUGUGGUAUCCUUGGUGGGUGCUUCAUGUUAGUUUGCGGCAAGGAAGGUUGCUAGAGUAUGUCCCUACGCGGCUAGGCAGAGAGGUUGUGUAAAGCAUGCUCUGUACGGAGAGGUUGCUAGAAAGCAUGCUCCGUCAUGUGAUACCUUAUCGGGGUUACAUGUCAGUUAUGUUGGAUGUUCUAACCUAUGUGCCUUUGUGGCUGCGGGUGUGGUGUUCCAUGGUUGUGUAUGUGAUGAGAAAGCUCGAGUGAGGAUGUGUAGUUAAGGUGUCGAGAGUUUUAGCAUAUAUUAUAUCAUUAUGCUAAUGGUGGAUUAUAUUCCGCUGCUUAUCUUAUUUAUGUUUAUAUUCUUGUUGAGUUACUCGGGUUUCCACGGGGGGAUGUCUUGAGUGAUGAUUAUUAUUGUUGUGUUAUUGUUAGGUGAACUCCUUGUCUUAGAUUGUUUGGGGUUGGGAUGGCGAGGGGUUGUAUUUGUUAGUUGGGGCCUGGCUCACUGAGUGACAUUAGGUUACUCAUUAAACUCACCUAUCGUUGCAGGAAACCAUAGCGGGAGACCGGGUAGCGUGGAAGCUGGACGUUAGGAGCCCCGGAAGUACUUUUGACUUUCCUUUUGUAAAACGGUACUAGUUAAAGUCUUUUGACUCGAUAUUGGCACUAGGCCUGGAUCCAUCUGUAAUAUUUUACUUGUAACGAAUCUUUAUUAUAUUCAAUAAAAGUGAUGUUUUAUAUUCGUUACAAUGGUUCCCUAAUAAAUAGACUUGUUCGGUCUAAACACAACGUUAGGUUUAGGUACGGGUUGAAAAGCCUUAGGCCGCGAUCUAACGAAACCUUUAACUCAUAGUACGGGAUGCAAAGCCUUAAGCCAUGAUUUAGCGGGACAUGUUAGUGGAUGAACUGGUCGAAGUUUGGGAUUAAGUUCUGUGACUUCGACUGGAUUGUCCCUAGCCCGUCACGUAACGCUUCCGGACCAUGAUGUUUGGUUGGACGGUCAGUCAUAUUCUUGUUUGAUUGUUGGCUGGCCUUUCAUCUCCAACCCUUGGUGUGGGUCGUUAGUCGGUCAUGUUCUUGUUUGAUUGUUGGCCGGUGGUUCGACCUAUGCUUAGGACGGUUCGGGGGUGUUACAGAGGUGGUAUCAGAGCAUGAUUUCGUCCAUUCUUCCAGAACCUGAGUUUUUAAUCGGUUUUUAAAUAUUUUAUUGAGUCAGAAAGGAUUUGAAAGGCAUCUAGAGUAUUCAGGUCGCGCCCACCCAUUAUGGGUAAGAAAUUUAGGAUUUACCUUUUCGUUGGUUGUAGAUGGAUAAUCGGGGUGCAAGUCAAGGUAGGCAGUGGGGAUGGUCGCCAAGGGAUGGUCGAUCAUAUGUGGAUUCAGAAUAAGGGUUUUCUACUGGGGUCAGAAUGGAUCACCGAGAUAUGAGUCAACGUUAUGGAAAUCUGUUUUCAACAAGUUGGGGACAUAGUCAAUCACCGUUUCCAGCGAGUUCAUAUUCAAAUGAACAACCAAGACGAAGAGGGAAUCAAGAGGCUGAAAUUCCACCGGGAAGUAUAGUAGAUUUGUUUACUCAAAUUCUACGACAAGUUUCAAGGAAUGCACAACCUGAGGAAUCCUUAAACAUUGAGUAUCUGAAGAUCUUAAAGACGAUGAAGGGUUUGGAAACGUAUAAGUUCAAAGGAGGAAUCAACACGUUUGAGGCAGAAGAGUGGAUACACAUGAUGGAGACAAACUUUGAAGCAAUGAUCUGGUCCAGACAAAUACAAGAAGAGAGUGGCGGUUUACUAUCUACAAGGAGAUGCUCGUAACUGGUGGGAAAGCGUGGAACGUCAACAUGGAAAUCAUAUUACAUCUUGGGAUGUAUUUCAGAAGGAGUUCAGAAGGAAGUACUUUCCACCCGAGGCAAGACAUCGAUUGGAGAGGCAGUUCAUCAAUCUUACCCAAGGGGAUAGGACAGUACGGGAGUAUGAAGCGGAAUUCACAAGUCUUCGUCGAUAUGUAUUUAACGGCCAGGAGGACGAAGCAACAAUGAUCCGAAACUUCAUGUAUGGAUUGCGUUCUGAACUAGGUAGCAGACUCGCGGCAGGCAACUAUGGAAAUCUUACAGACUUAGUCGAAAGGGGCGGUAGCAGCAGAAGCCAAAAAUGAAUCAAAAAGAAAAGGCGUUAGUGGCCAAAAGGGAAAAUAGAUAGUUCAGUUCAAGGAUUCCAGUCAGCAAGGCCUAUCCAGGAAAAGAAGCCACGACUCAAAAUCUUGGAAUGGAAACCAAGGAUGUUUUUAUUGUGGAGAGGUUGGUCACAUUGCUCGACACUGCGUGGCAGAGCAAGCGGCAAUAGCCGAAGAACAUCCCCCACUUGCCCUACUGGAAGACAGACCCCCGAGAAAGAGAAGGAAUAGGAUCUAGAUCUUUAGAAAAACCUUAACCUUCAGGCCUACAAGGUAAGUAGGGGUUUUAACUUCCUUGUUUGAGUGUGUAUUGCCUGAUUGGCUGUGAAGUGUUGGGGAAAUUGGUUUUAAUUGCCGUUUGGUGCUAUUGCACGAGAACUUGUGGUAUGUAUUCUUGUUGUGUGUAGGAACGUUGUGGCAGGUUAUAACCCCCGAAGACCAAACCCUUGAAGAUUGAUAGUUGGAUCAGCAGUACUAUGAUUGUUGGAUCUCCUGAGCAGAUCUAUCCAUGACAUGGUAUGAUUUGGUGGCUAUGUUGGGUACAUGUUUGGUUCUGAGGAGAUAUCUAUCAAAAGGACAUGAUAGAUAUAGAAGAUUUGAUCAUCAAUAUUGAAAAAGUGGCUAAGUACGAGUAUGGUACAGCAGAGUAAAAGUAGGAAUAUGACUCAAUGAGACUGAAGAGAUGUGAAGACAACUAUGGACCUUGAGGAGGACACUCAAGGGAAAGUAGUAGACAAAGUGAAGAGAUUUGGAGAUCAGUUGAGAAUGAGUAAACCAUGGGAAGCAAGGAGUUAAGAGAAGGCUUCAAGACCAAGGAGAAUACCUUUAGCUGUAUCAAGGUAGAGCGAGUUCAGAAUCAGAAGUCCGUAUGGAGACCAAAGAAAUUGAAAGAAGAUAUCAAAGGAGAACAGACGGAGAAACACAUCAAGACGAAGUUAUCCAAGAAGUGAUCGCCAUCACAACAUAUCAAGGAGGAGUAUGCAUGAAGCUGAGCAUUGGUGCAACUAAGAAUUCGAGGACGAAUUCUAUUAAGGGGGGGAGAAUGUGAUAACCCACCCUUUGGGAUAAGAAUGGUCGAGACAGAAGAUUGGUCGAACAUCAACUUGGUGGUCGAAUCGCGGGCGAUAAAGAUCGAUCGGGAAAUUUCGAAGAACGAGGUGGUUGAAGAAUUGAUCGUGAGUGAACCAUGAGUCGAAUAAGUUUCUCGACCAUAGUUAGAAGAUGUCUUAGAUUGAUCAGAUGGACGUUUUGGAAGCAAAACAAUUUUGGAAGCAAAACAAUUUUGGAAGCACGACAUUUUAGAAGCACGACGUUUCCGAAGCACAUCGUUUCUUCAGCACGAAGUAAUCCGCAAAACAUCGUAUCGGCGUAAUAUUAAUUCAGAGACAUCAUAAGUCGGAAGCAGGAUGGGAGUCAAGCAGGACGGGAAGUUAAUACGACGGGAUCAAAGCACGACGGGAAAACCCGAAAUUGGGCAAAAACCCUAAUUUCGGUAUUAUGAAAUUUUCCGAGGAAGCUGGAGGCUUGGGAAAUAUUUUCCGUCAAGGUCAGAAUUACACUGGAUUUUAUUAAAAUUAUUCAGCUCAUCAGAACGGGAGCAGAAAAAUAUUUGUGAUUAAUCGCGGGCCAAAAAUAUGCCGGAAGGGUCGAAAUCGCGUACAUCGACCGAGAAGCUCGAGGUGUCUCAAUGCAUGUCAUCAGGACGUGGUGUCAACCAUCUGAUAAGCUGUCUGUCUACACAAGCACGAGGUGUCGACACGCAUGGAAGCAGCACAUGUGGAUUGACAUGCAGAAGCACGAGAUGUCGCCGUAUCUGCAAUCGAAGCAUGUUGAUCGACAUUUGGGCGGUGUGGUGUCGAUCUGCAUGCAACCAUCCCAUGAAUCGGACAUGUGGAGGACAUGGUGUCACCUUGCAUGAAAUCCUGAUCAUGCUGACCGUCAUGUGGAGCACGAGGUGCCGCCGCGCAUGUAACCGGAGCCAUGCAGAGCGAUACACGGGCUGCCACCAACCUGAAGGUGAUUGGCUGCUGUCUUCUAUAAAUAGGCACGCCCACCUUAACAUUUCAACACAUCCAGAACACUUCAGAUCAGUUUAAAAAUGUGAGAGAAAGUAGAGAGAGAAAGCAAGAGGUUUCGAUAGUUUUUGGGAGUUUUCAAGAUCAGUUACUACACCUGUUUUGAGUCACCGCCUAGAGGAGUUUCUGUUUGAGUUGUGAGUUGUUCAAGGCCAUUCAGGGUUAGGCACCCCUUUGAGGGCAUUUGGGACAGGAGGCUACUUGAGGAGUUCAAGAAAUGGGUUUUGGUCGAGGAUUCGAGCAAGGGGUCAAAGCCACAACGAACCGAACACUGUGAGUCACGGCAAUUGAUUGCUGACUUGUUUUCAUGCAGGUUCCCGUUACUUGGAAGUUGGAUCAUGGCAAGAGGCCGGGUCUAACUGAGUAACGGUUUGAUUAGUUAAUAGUUGUGGUUUGAUUGAUUGAGUUGAUAGCAUGCUUAGUUAUUGUUUGGGAAUCGUAGUAGCAUGCUAAUGGUUAGGUUGCUUGGUUAGUUAGCGAAUGCAAACCCUUAGAUAAUAUCGCUAGGUUAUGGAUAGAUAGGUAUUCUGGAAUAUAUCUUGGGUUGAUUGCUAGGUUGUUAGAUUGCAUGCGUAUAUAAUUAUUGCUAUUGCGUUAUUAUCGGUUUGCAUGCAUUGAUUGUGAUGUUGUUGUUUUAGUUGAUUAGAUGUUAGUACAAGGCAACUUAGGUCAUAUAGACCGAAUUGCUAGUACGUGUAUGGUUGAGUUAGUAGGGGAUCUAGGCCAUACAGGCUGAGUUCCUAGUUAGUGUUGUACUUACCCGGACGUGGUGUCACCUUGCAUGACAUCCUGAUCAUGCUGACCGCCAUGUGGAGCACAAGGUGCCGCCGCACAUGCAACCAGAGCCAUGAAUAUAGGCCGGAUUGCUGGUACUAGUGUUUAGUAUCGAGCUUUGCGGAUAGCUUGCCUGAUCAGGAAUGCUAGGCUUGUGCUCUGGGUGUUACGCGGCAAGGAAGGUUACGUAAGUAUGUCCCUACGCGGCUUGGAAGAGAGGUUGCAUAAAGCAUGCUCUGUACGGGGAGGUUGCUAGAAAGCAUGCUCCGUCAUGUGGUAUCCUUGGUGGGUGCUUCAUGUUAGUUUGCGGCAAGGAAGUUUGCUAGACUAUGUCCCUACGCGGCUGGGCAGAGAGGUUGUAUAAAGCAUGCUCUGUACGGAGAGGUUGCUUUCCAUCAUGUGACGCCUUAUCAGAAUUACAUGUCAGUUAUUUUGGAUGUUCUAACCCGUGUGCCUUUGUGGCUGCAAGUUAGGUGUUCCAUGGUUGUGUAUGUGAUGAGAAAGCUCGAGUGAGGAUGUGUAGUUAAGGUGUCGAGAGUUUUAGCAUAUAUUAUAUCAUUAUGCUAAUGGUGGAUUAUAUUCCGCUGCUUAUCUUAUUUAUGUUUAUGUUCUUGUUGAGUUACUCGGGUUUCCACGGGGGGGGAAGUCUUGAGUGAUGAUUAUUAUUGUUGUGUUAUUGUUAGGUGAACUCCUUCUCUUAGAUUGUUUGGGGUUGGGAUGGCGAGAGGUUGUAUUUGUUAGUUUGGGCCCUGGCUCACUGAGUGACUAUAGGUAACUCA
rnacentral:lncRNA from 1 species